rnacentral:lncRNA from 1 species
AGUUUGUGACACCACUGACCUCUAUGGUGGUCACCAAGCCCCAAGGAGAAAAAACACAGAUCGCUGACAAACCUAAAGAGGGGGAGAAAAUAAAAUCUUCUUUUGGUCUUGCGAAAAGCAGGGCGUCUUCAAGACGUAACCGAGUCGGAGGAAGGACGGCAUUUGCAAAACAUAGCUACCACCCAGGACCCCGAUAUGUGACUCUAAGUGCUUCUGUUGAUCAUUCAGGUUUGUGUUGGUUUAGUUUGAUUUUCAGAUGUUUAGUCUGCAUGUUCUGGUAGAUAAAAUAACUCUAAUUUAGCAAACAGCUAUAAAAAUAAUUUCUUUUUUUAUUUAGUCAAUAAAAAACUUGUAUUUUUGUUUAAUAAUUAAAAA